rnacentral:snoRNA from 1 species
GGGUCGAUGAUGAGAACCUUAUAUUGUCCUGAAGAGAGGUGAUGACUUAAAAAUCAUGCUCAGCAGGAAUACGCUGAGGCCC